GUCCCUUCGUAGGUGACUGCUCAUCACAUAGAGAAGCUCUGCCACUUCCUGCCCCACCCCUGUGGAUCUUCUCCGCACCUGCCCUAGUGCCGCUCCAUCCCUCCGGGCUCCUCAUUCCAGAGCCAACCCAGGUACCCUGACUCAGCAAAGUAACAAUGAACAUCCUCCUCCUCCAGGAAGCCUUCCAGGAUUGGACUGCCUUAAGGAACUUCUUCCCACUGUCUUUCUCCAAGGUGUGGCUGGAGCUAAGAGGGAGCCUGGAGAGAGAAGACUUGUCCAAACAUCCCUGUUUUAAAUAUGGGUGGGUUAAAUCCAGGAUGCUCAGUUAAAUCUGAAUUUUAGAUAAACAGUAUGAAUAAUAUUUUAGUGUAAGAAUGCCCCAAAUAUUGCAUGGGACAUACUUAGACUUAAAAAAUAUUUAUUGUUUAUCUUGGAGUUCCUGUCAUAGCACAGCAGAAAUGAAUCCGACUAGGAACCAUGAGGUUGUGAGUUUGAUCCCUGGCCUUGCUCAGUGGGUUAAGGAUCUGGCAUUGCCGUGAGCUGUGGUGUAGGUCACAGAUUGAGCUUGGAUCUGGCAUUGUUGUGG
rnacentral:lncRNA from 1 species